GACGAACACUGGCGGCGUGCCUAAUACAUGCAAGUUGAGCGAUGAAGAUUGGUGCUUGCACCAAUUUGAAGAGCAGCGAACGGGUGAGUAACGCGUGGGGAAUCUGCCUUUGAGCGGGGGACAACAUUUGGAAACGAAUGCUAAUACCGCAUAAUAACUUUAAACAUAAGUUUUAAGUUUGAAAGAUGCAAUUGCAUCACUCAAAGAUGAUCCCGCGUUGUAUUAGCUAGUUGGUGUGGUAAAGGCUCACCAAGGCGAUGAUACAUAGCCGACCUGAGAGGGUGAUCGGCCACAUUGGGACUGAGACACGGCCCAAACUCCUACGGGAGGCAGCAGUAGGGAAUCUUCGGCAAUAGACGAAAGUCUGACCGAGCAACGCCGCGUGAGUGAAGAAGGUUUUCGGAUCGUAAAACUCUGUUGGUAGAGAAGAACGUUGGUGAGAGUGGAAAGCUCAUCAAGUGACGGUAACUACCCAGAAAGGGACGGCUAACUACGUG
rnacentral:rRNA from 1 species